rnacentral:rRNA from 1 species
UACAGAGGGUGCAAGCGUUGUUCGGAAUUAUUGGGCGUAAAGGGAGUGUAGGCGGCGGCGUAAGUCUUCUGUGAAAUCUACGGGCUUAGCCUGUAACGUGCAGAGGAAACUGCGUUGCUUGAGUGUCGGAGAGGAUAGUGGAAUUCCAGGUGUAGAGGUGAAAUUCGUAGAGAUCUGGAGGAACACCAGUGGCGAAGGCGACUAUCUGGCUGACAACUGACGCUGAGACAUCGAAAGCAUGGGGGAGCAAACAGG